GAUGAACGCUGGCGGCGUGCCUAAUACAUGCAAGUCGAGCGGACGGACGAGAAGCUUGCUUCGCUGAUGUUAGCGGCGGACGGGUGAGUAACACGUGUAAAACCUACCUAUAAUACGGGGAAAACCACGGGAAACCGGAGAUAAUACCGGAUAAGAUUUUGAACCGCAUGGGUCAAAAGUGAAAGACGGUCUUGGUGUCACUUAUAGAGGGAUCCGCGCUGCAUGAGCUAGUUGGUAAGGUAACGGCUUACCAAGGCAACUAUGCAUAGCCGACCUGAGGGGGUGAUCGCCCACACUGGAGCUGAGACACGGUCCAGACUCCUACGGGACGCAGCAGUAUGGUAUCUUCCGCAAUGGGCGAAAGCCUUACGGAGCAGCGCCGCGUGAGUGAUGAAGGUCUUCGGAUCGUGAUGCUCUGUUACUAGUGAUGAACAUAUGUGUCAGUAACUGUGCACAUCUUGACGGUACCUAAUCAGAAAGCCACGGCUAACUACGUG
rnacentral:rRNA from 1 species